CGCAGAGGUUGGGCGCGGGGGGCGGGGCGGGGCGUGCAGAGGUGGGGCCUGGCAAGUCACGGUUUCCGCGGCGCGGCGCGGGCCUGGGAGCUGUCGGAGUGAACCCCACGGGCGGUUCUGACUCAGCUCUCAGGGUAGGGGACAGAGAGAGAAAGUAAGGUCCGUCCACGGCGAGCAAGCAUUAUUGAGGAAGAAAGCCGCCCGCGCCCUCCAUGGCCACCUGAGCGGAUGUUCUCACCUAUUCGAGAACUAAUGGGUGUAUGUGUAAAAGGUGGGCUAGGGCCAGGCCCACGUUUUGUAAACACACAGGCCGGGCCUGUAAUCCUAGCGACUUGGGAGGCCGAGGCGGGAAGAUCACUUGAGGCCAGGAGUUCGAGACCAGCCUGGUUGAGACGAGGUUUCACCGUGUUAGCCAGGAUGGUCUCCAUCUCCUGACCCCGUGAUCCGCCCGCCUCCGCCUCCCAAAGUGCUGGGAUUACAGGCGUGAGCCACCGCGCCCGGCCCUAACUGCAGAAAUUAUACUGAUUCUAUGGAUAAUGGUGACUUUGGUCCCCUAGAGCUCAAGGAGAUCCUGUCGUAUACAUUGUUCUCCGUAACCCCAGCACCUAUGACUGAGUUCCUCCUGAAGAUACCUGAUACGUUAGGACAAAGUGAAGUCACC
rnacentral:lncRNA from 1 species